rnacentral:rRNA from 1 species
AUUGAACGCUGGCGGCAUGCCUUACACAUGCAAGUCGAACGGCAGCACGGGAGCAAUCCUGGUGGCGAGUGGCGAACGGGUGAGUAAUGUAUCGGAACGUACCUUUCAGUGGGGGAUAACGUAGCGAAAGUCACGCUAAUACCGCAUAUUCUGUGAGCAGGAAAGCAGGGGAUCGCAAGACCUUGCGCUGAUUGAGCGGCCGAUAUCAGAUUAGCUAGUUGGUGAGGUAAAGGCUCACCAAGGCGACGAUCUGUAGCGGGUCUGAGAGGAUGAUCCGCCACACUGGAACUGAGACACGGUCCAGACUCCUACGGGGGGCGA